CCAGCGUGCUAAACAUUUUGAUCCCUUAGCUCUCGAGGUCAAAUUGUUCGACCUCAGAUGUCCAGCGAGGGGAGCCGUCACACGACUCGUACUCGACUCGGCCAAACACAAAGAGGAGAGAUUCAGGAAUCUGCAUUUGUGCGAUUGUGUGUAUUUAUGAAAGAGAAAGAGAGGGAGUGAGAGCGUGAGAGGCUGUUGUAUUAAGCCUUUGUUUUUCUCUCCACAGUCUUUCUUUGUUUUAAUGUCUUGAUGUCUUUUGACCUCCGCCACCCUCCCUCUUUCUCUCUUUUUCAACGACUUUCAGUCAUUUCUGGUUGACAAAAGCAGGAACAGUUUCCAUCUUUCCCUUUUGCGUCUCUCUCUCUAUCUUUAAGUUGGAGAGAACCAUGGGGAGAGACUUUCUCUCAGCUUUUCAUCCUUCUCAAUCCUUCACUUUCUCACUCCUCUGCUCUCUUUUAAUCUUUCUUCAUUUUUCCAUUUUCACAUCUUUCCUUUUCCCACUCUUUCAAUUUCUUCCUCAUACUCUAUAUCACUGUUUCAUACUUCACUCCCUCCCUCUCCUCCAUCAUCUAUCUCCUGUUUCUAUUCAUUCCUCUUCUUUUCCCCCUCCUUCCGUUGGUAGUAAUCAUCCCUCACCUUUUUCCCCAUUUAAAGUUACACUUUCUGUCGUCUGUAGUUUUAAUUAAUCACACGACUCGUUAGCAAACUCUCCCCCUCGACUGUUAAUUAAUCAGGUUUCUGGCUUAAUGAACAGUCUAAACUCGUUAAACCUGUUUCGCUCUUAAUUAGACCGUUAGCUCGGGGGUCUAACACUCCGACAAGACUAUUAUCCACUACUACGCCUUAAUGGCAGCCGCCGUGAGUGUGUGCGUGAGCGUGUGUGUUAAGAUUACCUCACUCUCUAAUGGGGCUACUCAAAUAUUUAUAGGGCAGGAAGCUGAAUGGGAAGAAUGAUAGCGCUCAGGGAGACAGCAGACACUGAGGGAGUACAUGAGAAGACUGAUGCUGCCUUCAAGUGCUCCACGUAAGUUCCAACUUCCGGCCUCGGAAGUUGUAAAGAUAUGAAAAGCCUGAAGGGUCACAACACACCUCUCCUCCUUCAAAUGUAAUGUGGACAUCAGGUUGGAUUGGUGAAUGUUUCUAAAUUAACGAUGGCGGUUAUUAGGACCAACAUCACCCCACUGUUGGCUCACAGAAAUAUAUUUGCAUGGCCGUUAUUUGCCCACAUAUAUCAAUAAAACAUAGCAAACAUGCGUGGCACAAUUCUGCUACAGCAAUAAAAAAAAUCAACAAGGGUAAUGGUUUACUCUGUUGGACUGAUACUCGUGUUUACGAAGUUAUCUGCUGACCACAAAGGUGUUAACAUAGCUGUGUACUGUGUGAACAGAGUGUCCAGUUAGUUGUCCCAUGAUGUCUAAUAGAAACUUAUAAAGGCCUUUUGUAUGUUAUACCAAAG
ensembl:lncRNA